GACGAACGCUGGCGGCGUGCCUAAUACAUGCAAGUGGAACGCAUGAUUGAUAUCGGAGCUUGCUCCACCAUUAAUCAUGAGUCGCGAACGGGUGAGUAACGCGUAGGUAACCUGCCUGAUAGCGGGGGAUAACUAUUGGAAACGAUAGCUAAUACCGCAUAAGAGUCGUUAACACAUGUUAAUGAUUUAAAAGGAGCAAUUGCUUCACUAUCAGAUGGACCUGCGUUGUAUUAGCUAGUUGGUGAGGUAACGGCUCACCAAGGCUUCGAUACAUAGCCGACCUGAGAGGGU
rnacentral:rRNA from 1 species